rnacentral:lncRNA from 1 species
CAGGCCAUUGUAGAGUAGUUAUAAUAGAAAUUUGGGUUUUUUCCCCCCAAAGUAUAUUACAACUUCUGAAAAAGAUAAUCUCAUUUUAACCAAAAGAGAAGAAAACCCAUCAAAGGGAAUGUGAGAAAUUAUACUUUCCUUUCUUGUCUUUGCUGCCUAAGGUGAAGUGAAAUUGUUUUGUCCGUUAUCAGAUCAAAUGCAGACAUAAUUUAAGAAGACUAGCCUUCCGUUAAAGAUUUCAUCAGGUGAAGACAUCAGUCUUGCCUUCCUGCUCGCUGCAGUGCACUGUAAAUGGUCUCACAGCACAUCCACAGCUAGUUCACUGGACAAAGGUAUGCAGAACAAAACUUCCUUAAAUUCUCAAGAGACCUGUUCCACAAAACUGUGAGCAGAGUUUUGCUAUCUACAGAUUCACUAUCCUCAUCUCUCAUGAACUUUGAGUUCCAACUAGGAUAUUUUGGACCUAAGGAAUAAUGUAUCCUUUUAUUUCUCCAGGAAGCAACCAUCUAAUACAACGGAAGUUACAUAAUCGAGACCUCACUGUGAGCUUUGAAACUAUUUUUAAUCACCAGAACCUACUUCUCAUCAUAAAAGGAUAUCUCCAGCUCCAUAAUUUGAGGUAGAAAACAAUGGCAAUCUUGAAGAAAUACAAAUGACAAAUUAGAAAGCUGAAGUGGAGAAGCAUUCAAACAUGAGACCAGAAGGCACACUCUUACUCACAGGUCCCCUCAAUGCCAGAGUCUAGAGAAAACAUUUUAGGGAUAUAUUUAGUACCAUUGAAAUUGUUCCCAUCUUUACUUAGGGUGAGGUCAGCAUUAUGAUCUGAGAAAACUCUGGGAAAGAAGUCUGUCUUUUAAAGUCUGGUGUGACCCAGGAUUCUAUCUUUGAACAUUGGCCCUCCUAUGGGUCAUCGCCUCCUCUGUCAGAGUUUUACUUAUUACAUGUUGGAUAUGCUGGUGACACCCAAGUCUAUAAAUUCAACCCAGACCUGAUCCCUGAGGUUCAGAUUUGAAAGUGACCUAGAUUUACACAUGGAUGUCCCUCCCACAGGCAUCUGGCACCCCAUGCGGCACUCCUCCAAGUGCCCAUUUUACUCCCAGUCUCUCUCACUGGGUGGGAGGUGGGAGAGGGCUGAGCUAUGUCCGUUUUGUUCAUCUUUGGAGACCUAGGUCCUGGUCGACACCAGCUGUUCAGUAAGUAUUUCUUGAAUAAAUGAGUCAAUGAGUGGGACUGAACAAUUCUACAUGAUUAUACUUUCAUAAAAUUGACACUUACCUACUCAGGGUCACAGAAUGCUGAGUCUCUAGGUACUGUCCUUUUAGACAAUGAUUUGCUGUGUUUUUGCCUAUGAAGGUGCUGCCAAGUACAAACAAUUUAAUAUUACUGCCCAUUCCAUUGAUAGAGUUGUAAAUGGAGAAAUAUUGCCUUUCAGAAGAAUGUUUAUAAAAAUGCAUUAAAAGCAACACCUAAAGAGCAUAAUAUGAAAAAUGAUUUCAUUCUCGCAUGCAAAGUUUAGGGAAAACAGGCUUUGCCUCCCACAGAACAGGCAAAUUUUAUCUGGGUAUCUUCUGGGGGAAACUAUAGAAAUCUAAAUAUGAACAGCACAAAAGGACAUAGAAAUUUUAGGUAUUAUAAAGGAGUUAUUAAUUCUUCUUAUUAAUAAAGAAAGUAGAAUGCCUUAAAUCAAGCCCAUCAUUUUUUCCCAUUUAUUUGGGAUACCACUUUGUCAAGUGGUAUCAAACUGGUACUUACAAAAAUAUGUAACUGUAUUGUAUAUCUAAAACUUGCUAAUAGAGUAAGUCUUAAAUAUUGUCACCACACACACACACACACACACACACACACCACUGUCCCUCUCUGAGUUGAUAGAUGUGUCAACUAACUUCUCUUUGGUAAUUAUUUUGCUAUAUCUAUAUAUAAAUCAAAUCAUUAUGUGGUGCACUUCAAACUUACAUAGUGUUAUGUUAGAUCCCAGUAAAGCUGGUGGAAAAGCAUUUAACUGUUGUACAUAAUUGGUAGGAUAAAUUUUCAAGAAUCUAAAUUCUGUAAAUAUAUAUAAACAAUUCUCAAAGAGCAUCAAGUCAAACCAUCUGAGAAUUGAUUGCUCUCAAUUCAUGCAGGAUGUGCUGCUCCAUGUCCCGUCAGAGCCCACUGCUUCAUUCCUCCCUGCUGCGGCUUCUUUAAAUCAUAGCAGGACAUUAAGCAUAGACUGAUGUCUUGCAUUCUCCUAUGUUUUGGGCAACUAGAAAAACUGAUUUAUCAUUUAAAAAAAAUAAGUGUGUAGGGUUUCCUAUAAGUAGACAAUGUGAGAGUUAUGAAUCCUUUCUAAAUACCUUUCUAAGCAUGAAAUUGAGAAAUAUCCUGAAAAGUAAGAGCAAUCAGAUAGAACUAAGCUAAGGAAGUACAGUCAUAUGAUCCUAACUAGAAAGUUAUCUAUAUCUUGAUAAUGACCAUCUCCACAAAAAUCUUCACUGAAAAGACCUUCACUCAAACAAGAAAGAAAUAGUAACUUAUUAAAUGAAAAUAUGGGAAAUACUGUCCCAACUCCUCUGAGGUUGUUUAUCGUUAUGUCUUGAACAUUACUUUUCUAUAUUUUCUUUAUGGUUUUCAGUUAUGCAAGAAUCACUACUGUCAUUUAAAAAAUAGAAUGUCUUUAUUUUUAUGGGCUGUAGAAUUAAUUUCCUGCCUCUCUCAGAAAUAUCUCUUUUGCUAGGGAUGGCCAACAGCCAAUCUUGAUCCUAGAGGAAAUUAUUGAAUUUUUAAUUUCCCUGGAGGGAGAACUACUACAUGUAUCUUUUGUUUCUGGAUUUUAUCAUCAGACUGUAUGUUUCCACCUCAUUAGCCUUAUUUCACAACUAGUUUUCAAUGUGAAAAAGGGGAAGAAGUGGAAUAGAUUAUUUCAAUCCAGUGGUUAAUCUCAUUUGACAUACUCUUUGCUUUUAUAUUUAAUGAUAUACUUUAUAUUACUCUCCAAGUCAGAGAUCAAAGUAUUUUGUAGUUAUCACCUUACUAAUAUUCAUCAUGCUUCUUGGAGUUAGAUAGUAGAGAAAAUGAAAGAAAUAUAGGGGAAAAAAUGAUGAAAUCAUUUUCUCAAAUGGUGAUUACUGUUAAUUCUGAACUUUCAGUUCUAGAACCCUUAAGUAUCUAUAUAUAUAGCCACAAUUAUCUGGCCAAGAUUUAUUUUUUUAAUAUUAUAGUUUUAUUUGGGGAUCCCUGGGUGGCGCAUCGGUUUAGCGCCUGCCUUUGGUCCAGGGUGCGAUCCUGGAGACCCGGGAUCGAGUCCCAUGUCGGGCUCCUGGUGCAUGGAGCCUGCUUCUCCCUCUGCCUGUGUCUCUGCCUCUCUCUCUCUCUCUGUGUGUGACUAUCAUAAA